ensembl:lncRNA
CUUUUAGAAGGAGCUGUCAGCACUGGAGCAGGGAUAGACUUUCUUCAGAGUGGGACAGAUGCAGAGACUGAGGAGAAACACACUGUGUUGCAUGGAAUUAGCAGGACAGAAGAGAAAGCACCAUCCACUGACCUGCAGGCUGCUGACAUGCUGCCAUGCUAAUGCUUGCAGGAUUGUAACAACCCCACAAGACACCCUGGCAAUGCAUCCCACCAGUACAGCCUGCUUGCCUUGCUCAGCAGAACAAACUGAUGGACGGUAACCACUUCUUGGAUGGCUCACUCCAGGCCAAGUCAGCUAAGCUCCACGCUGGCAUAGCUUGUCAUUUCCAGCAGACGAGAUCGUGUGAACUGCUGCUCAUUUCCACUGGUCUGUUCCCUAUGGCUAGAUUUCCCCUUCAUUAAUUAUGCUGAAUUAAAAACAAGUGGCCAUAGUGAAGUAACCAGGAUCUAUCAAGUAUCAGCCAAGUACAAGCAGGAAUCCUGAUUUCACAACCUCAUCUUAUGCAAGACACAGAAAGAAAAAAUCUGAGGAAAUUUGUUUCAAGUUAUGCUCACAUGCAAUAAAUCAUGGUGAAAACACCAUAAGGACUGAGGUCUUGCUAAAAUCAGUUGUAGUGUACAUUAUUUCAUAGUGAAAUGUGAAUUAAUCAAACCUUACUUUUGAUAUAGAACAGAGUACCAUAAAUUUACCCUCUUCUUUCUUUCAACUUCUGUCUGCUUGUGAAUCAGGAACUAGCG